AAUGCUGUCAAAGGCUUAGAACCCUCCAACGAUUCCCUGCGUGUGACACCAAAUGUUUGCAUGAUUACACCAGAAGUAGGACUUCCAGCUGAUAGUUGAGAAAGAGCUCCUGAUGGUCUUGUCUGUGUACUCUCUUCUUUAUCUGCCAGUAGUUGGAAAACUGCAGAAGAUUUUCCACAAUUUUUUGUGUCUUCAGCAUUCAUCAAAGUUUGUGAAGUCCCUUUCAAUGUAGACUUGGUCUCAGAGGCUAAAUGCCAGGAAAGAGUUUUGGAUGCGGGGGAACCUGAAGGCUGGAGAUGAGAUCUAGCUUGAAAUGAAUUUUUCCUUGCAUCAGUUUGAAUGUAAGGGCUAAAAUGUACCUUCUUGUUAACAGAAUUUGGUAAUAUAUAAUGUUUGUGAUGUCUUGGGAUAAAUGCCAACAACUGCUGCUGCCUAAGACCUUCCUUAUCCGUAUAUGUUUGGCAUGUAAGAAGUUGCUGNAUUUAGACAUGAAACUUUUAGCUCCGUGGUUGAGACGUCUAAAGUUUGUUGCUCAACAAGGCCAGUUAACUUGUAAGCCACGGUGCCAAGAUGAUCAACAGCAUUAACAAGGGCUCGCACAGCAUAAUCUUUCAGGUUGUCCAGCACCAUCUGCUUCUGCUCAGUAUGAAGAUAAGACUUCUCACAAUAUUCUGCAGCAGAAUAAAGUUGAGGCCUCAAGUUUUUGAGCUCCUGUAAAGCCUUGACGAAACUUUUGCUGCGCUCCAUGGAAAUCUCAUCGAAGGUCAUAGCCGGAUUGUCCGUUCGGGUUUGCUCCACUUCCAUUUUUCUCAGCCGUUAAAAGCGUCAGUUAUGAAAUUCUGAGGAAAAUGAAUUGAUAAAUACAAACCCUAGAUGCAUAAAAUUAAAGAAAAUUUGAUUAACUAAUAUUAAAUGAAUGUGAAAGUAAUAUAUAAAUGGUUAGAUUUGGGGUUAGGUUACGGCGGGAGAGCUAAGCCAAGUGGAGAAAGGAUCAGGGUAAACAGAAAAGUGGAAAGUAGAGAGAGGGAGUGAAGUAGAUUAGAAGCGAUUCCAGACAGGUGAGUGGAAAUUGUAGUAAUUUGGAGUUAAUAGCAAGUUAAAAUGACUUUGGCUCUUGGGGAGGCAUUUAUUUGGUAGUGUUUAUUGUGGUGGCAAGCAAGGGUAGUUGACAAGCU
rnacentral:misc_RNA from 1 species